rnacentral:rRNA from 1 species
UACGUAGGGCGCAAGCGUUGUCCGGAAUUAUUGGGCGUAAAGAGCUCGUAGGCGGUUUGUCGCGUCUGCUGUGAAAACCUAAGGCUCAACCUUGGGCUUGCAGUGGGUACGGGCAGACUAGAGUGCGGUAGGGGUGACUGGAAUUCCUGGUGGAGCGGUGAAAUGCGCAGAUAUCAGGAGGAACACCCGUAGCGAAGGCGGCACUCUGGGCCGGAACUGACGCUGAGGAGCGAAAGCGUGGGGAGCGAACAGG